ACGAUGCGUGUGUGUCCACAAUGGGCGUCUGUGUGACGCUAUCAGCCUCUGGGAGUCCCCAAUUGGACCAAACAAAGCAGAGUGUUCAUUUCCUGAACAAACGCCUCACAGUGCGCCACCAUUGGGUGGAGCGCCUUCAAAUUCAUAGCGCUCCGUUCCUUCGGACUGUUGCCCUCUAGCAUGGAUCCUCUGUUUUAUGAUAACACUAAUGCUAUUCAUUAUAAUUAUAACUAUGACUGCUCUCAGUCAGCACACACGGUAAUCCACAAAGGUCGAGACAACUGGACUCUUAUGGUUUGUUAAACGUGUUGGGUUUAUUCUUGUUUUGUGUAAAAAAAAGGACUUAUUAGGCCGUAUGUGUCAGUCAGAAGCACGAAGAAAGUAAUUUAUGAAAAAUAUAAAGGAAGGAAACGGAAAUCAUCGACAGGCCACAUUGUUUAUUUUUCUCCCAGUGAUGUGUAAGUGUCAGCAGAGGGCGCUGUGGUCAGGCGUACAGUCGAUUGCGUUGUCACGGUGGUUCUCAAUGCGAUUAAUUAAAAGUCAUGGUUAGCAUGUUUUCUUCGUUCUUGAACGGUGCACGUCUGUUAUCCAUACAAAGGCUAACCACCACGGCGCGCCGCUCAAACUGCGUCCUUUUAAAGGCAGCAGCCAGGACUACCAGCACCUCGACAGAUCUUGUCGGCGUUUCUGAGACCGCGUGGGCUGCCGCCAAACUGCCAUCUUGGGCCUGUGAGUGAGUGUAAAAAUACCACCUAUGAGAGGCGUAAAUAAACAUUCUGGAGUGGGAAAACAAAAGCCAAGAAUGGCGGCUGACUAACAUGCCCGCAGAAACACACUCUCUCGCUCAACUUUUUUAGCUUAAAGCAUUGUAACGUGUUAACCUUGAAGGUUUAUAGCUUGUUUCCUUUUUAGACAACGUUUUGGCAUUUCAUCUUAUUUCCUUUCCACUCUGUAGAAUUGCAGCCGAUUAGCAUUUUAGCCAAAGACUCCACAUUUUUAAUCACAAGAGAGAGCCUUUAGAGGGGGGGUGAAAUUUAUGGAUUGGUUCCAUUUCGGGCUCAUCAUUUCGUACCCAAAGAUUGGCUUCAUCUCACCAUCCAGAAAAUGGAUGCAGGGCUCCAUGAUGUCCAAACGGGCCAAAAUCAUCCGCCACCACCUCCUCGUCGUUUUUAUUAAGGUUACUGGAGAGUUUGAGGGGUUCUGCUGACCCACUUUUCCUCCAAGCCAUUUUUUUAAAAUUCCGGAAUUCCCCGCCGCUUGUCAGGGAUGCUUCUGCUUACUUGGACCAAGAUGCGCAUACGA